rnacentral:rRNA from 1 species
UUAAGUUAUUAAGGGCGCACGGUGGAUGCCUUGGCACUAGAAGCCGAUGAAGGACGUUACUAACGACGAUAUGCUUUGGGGAGCUGUAAGUAAGCUUUGAUCCAGAGAUUUCCGAAUGGGGAAACCCAGCAUGAGUUAUGUCAUGUUAUCGAUAUGUGAAUACAUAGCAUAUCAGAAGGCACACCCGGAGAACUGAAACAUCUUAGUACCCGGAGGAAGAGAAAGAAAAUUCGAUUCCCUUAGUAGCGGCGAGCGAAACGGGAAGAGCCCAAACCAACAAGCUUGCUUGUUGGGGUUGUAGGACACUCUAUACGGAGUUACAAAGGACGACAUUAGACGAAUCAUCUGGAAAGAUGAAUCAAAGAAGGUAAUAAUCCUGUAGUCGAAAAUGUUGUCUCUCUUGAGUGGAUCCUGAGUACGACGGAGCACGUGAAAUUCCGUCGGAAUCUGGGAGGACCAUCUCCUAAGGCUAAAUACUCUCUAGUGACCGAUAGUGAACCAGUACCGUGAGGGAAAGGUGAAAAGCACCCCGGAAGGGGAGUGAAAUAGAACCUGAAACCGUGUGCUUACAAGUAGUCAGAGCCCGUUAAUGGGUGAUGGCGUGCCUUUUGUAGAAUGAACCGGCGAGUUACGAUUUGAUGCAAGGUUAAGCAGUAAAUGUGGAGCCGUAGCGAAAGCGAGUCUGAAUAGGGCGUUUAGUAUUUGGUCGUAGACCCGAAACCAGGUGAUCUACCCUUGGUCAGGUUGAAGUUCAGGUAACACUGAAUGGAGGACCGAACCGACUUACGUUGAAAAGUGAGCGGAUGAACUGAGGGUAGCGGAGAAAUUCCAAUCGAACCUGGAGAUAGCUGGUUCUCUCCGAAAUAGCUUUAGGGCUAGCCUCAAGUGAUGAUUAUUGGAGGUAGAGCACUGUUUGGACGAGGGGCCCCUCUCGGGUUACCGAAUUCAGACAAACUCCGAAUGCCAAUUAAUUUAACUUGGGAGUCAGAACAUGGGUGAUAAGGUCCGUGUUCGAAAGGGAAACAGCCCAGACCACCAGCUAAGGUCCCAAAAUAUAUGUUAAGUGGAAAAGGAUGUGGCGUUGCCCAGACAACUAGGAUGUUGGCUUAGAAGCAGCCAUCAUUUAAAGAGUGCGUAAUAGCUCACUAGUCGAGUGACACUGCGCCGAAAAUGUACCGGGGCUAAACAUAUUACCGAAGCUGUGGAUUGUCCUUUGGACAAUGGUAGGAGAGCGUUCUAAGGGCGUUGAAGCAUGAUCGUAAGGACAUGUGGAGCGCUUAGAAGUGAGAAUGCCGGUGUGAGUAGCGAAAGACGGGUGAGAAUCCCGUCCACCGAUUGACUAAGGUUUCCAGAGGAAGGCUCGUCCGCUCUGGGUUAGUCGGGUCCUAAGCUGAGGCCGACAGGCGUAGGCGAUGGAUAACAGGUUGAUAUUCCUGUACCACCUAUAAUCGUUUUAAUCGAUGGGGGGACGCAGUAGGAUAGGCGAAGCGUGCGAUUGGAUUGCACGUCUAAGCAGUAAGGCUGAGUAUUAGGCAAAUCCGGUACUCGUUAAGGCUGAGCUGUGAUGGGGAGAAGACAUUGUGUCUUCGAGUCGUUGAUUUCACACUGCCGAGAAAAGCCUCUAGAUAGAAAAUAGGUGCCCGUACCGCAAACCGACACAGGUAGUCAAGAUGAGAAUUCUAAGGUGAGCGAGCGAACUCUCGUUAAGGAACUCGGCAAAAUGACCCCGUAACUUCGGGAGAAGGGGUGCUCUUUAGGGUUAACGCCCAGAAGAGCCGCAGUGAAUAGGCCCAAGCGACUGUUUAUCAAAAACACAGGUCUCUGCUAAACCGUAAGGUGAUGUAUAGGGGCUGACGCCUGCCCGGUGCUGGAAGGUUAAGAGGAGUGGUUAGCUUCUGCGAAGCUACGAAUCGAAGCCCCAGUAAACGGCGGCCGUAACUAUAACGGUCCUAAGGUAGCGAAAUUCCUUGUCGGGUAAGUUCCGACCCGCACGAAAGGCGUAACGAUUUGGGCACUGUCUCAACGAGAGACUCGGUGAAAUCAUAGUACCUGUGAAGAUGCAGGUUACCCGCGACAGGACGGAAAGACCCCGUGGAGCUUUACUGUAGCCUGAUAUUGAAAUUCGGCACAGCUUGUACAGGAUAGGUAGGAGCCUUUGAAACGUGAGCGCUAGCUUACGUGGAGGCGCUGGUGGGAUACUACCCUAGCUGUGUUGGCUUUCUAACCCGCACCACUUAUCGUGGUGGGAGACAGUGUCAGGCGGGCAGUUUGACUGGGGCGGUCGCCUCCUAAAAGGUAACGGAGGCGCUCAAAGGUUCCCUCAGAAUGGUUGGAAAUCAUUCAUAGAGUGUAAAGGCAUAAGGGAGCUUGACUGCGAGACCUACAAGUCGAGCAGGGUCGAAAGACGGACUUAGUGAUCCGGUGGUUCCGCAUGGAAGGGCCAUCGCUCAACGGAUAAAAGCUACCCCGGGGAUAACAGGCUUAUCUCCCCCAAGAGUUCACAUCGACGGGGAGGUUUGGCACCUCGAUGUCGGCUCAUCGCAUCCUGGGGCUGUAGUCGGUCCCAAGGGUUGGGCUGUUC